rnacentral:rRNA from 1 species
GGGUAACCUGCGGAGGGAUCAUUACCGAGUUUACAUCCCAAACCCCUGUGAACAUACCAAUUGUUGCCUCGGCGGAAGCCCGCUCCCGGUAAAACGGGACGGCCCGCCAGAGGACCCCUAAACUCUGUUUCUAUAUGUAACUUCUGAGUAAAACCAUAAAUAAAUCAAAACUUUCAACAACGGAUCUCUUGGUUCUGGCAUCGAUGAAGAACGCAGCAAAAUGCGAUAAGUAAUGUGAAUUGCAGAAUUCAGUGAAUCAUCGAAUCUUUGAACGCACAUUGCGCCCGCCAGUAUUCUGGCGGGCAUGCCUGUUCGAGCGUCAUUUCAACCCUCAAGCCCCCGGGUUUGGUGUUGGGGAUCGGCGAGCCCUUGCGGCAAGCCGGCCCCGAAAUCUAGUGGCGGUCUCGCUGCAGCUUCCAUUGCGUAGUAGUAAAACCCUCGCAACUGGUACGCGGCGCGGCCAAGCCGUUAAACCCCCAACUUCUGAAUGUUGACCUCGGAUCAGGUAGGAAUACCCGCUGAACUUAAGCAUAUCAAAAUCGGAAGGAAGGAA